rnacentral:rRNA from 1 species
UCCCACCCGUGUUUAUCGUACCUUGUUGCUUCGGCGAGCCCGCCUCACGGCCGCCGGGGGGCAUCCGCCCCCGGGCCCGCGCUCGCCGAAGACACCAUUGAACUCUGCCUGAAGAUUGCAGUCUGAGUGAUUAACUAAAUCAGUUAAAACUUUCAACAACGGAUCUCUUGGUUCCGGCAUCGAUGAAGAACGCAGCGAAAUGCGAUAAGUAAUGUGAAUUGCAGAAUUCAGUGAAUCAUCGAGUCUUUGAACGCACAUUGCGCCCCCUGGUAUUCCGGGGGGCAUGCCUGUCCGAGCGUCAUUGCUGCCCUCAAGCACGGCUUGUGUGUUGGGCCCCGCCCCCCGGUUUCGGGGGGCGGACCCGAAAGGCAGCGGCGGCACCGCGUCCGGUCCUCGAGCGUAUGGGGCUUCGUCACCCGCUCUGUAGGCCCGGCCGGCGCCCGCCGGCGACCCCAAUCAAUCUAUCCAGGUUGACCUCGGAUCAGGUAGGGAUACCCGCUGAACUUAAGCAUAUCAAUAAGCGGGGAA